ACAUGAAGCUGGAAUCGCUAGUAAUCGCGAAUCAGAAUGUCGCGGUGAAUACGUUCCCGGGUCUUGUACACACCGCCCGUCACACCAUGGGAGUCGGAAAUGCCCGGAGUCAGUGACCCAACCGUAAGGAGGGAGCUGCCGAAGGUGGAGCCGGUAACUGGGGUGAAGUCGUAACAAGGUAGC
rnacentral:rRNA from 1 species